rnacentral:rRNA from 1 species
AGUGGCGCACGGGUGAGUAACGCGUGGGUAACCUGCCCUCGAAUCUGGGAUAACUUCGCGAAAGCGUGGCUAAUACCGGGUAUCGUCCCCGAGACGGUGGUUUUGGGGAUGAAAGGUGACCUCUUCAUGAAAGUUGCCGUUCGAGGAGGGGCUCGCGUACCAUUAGCUUGUUGGCAGGGUAAUGGCCUACCAAGGCUACGAUGGUUAGCUGGUCUGAGAGGAUGAUCAGCCACACUGGAACUGAAACACGGUCCAGACUCCUACGGGAGGCAGCAGUGAGGAAUUUUGCGCAAUGGGGGAAACCCUGACGCAGCAACGCCGCGUGAGUGAAGAAGGCUUUCGGGUCGUAAAGCUCUGUUAAGUGGGAAAAAAUCCUUCCGGUCAAUAGUCGGAAGGCCUGAUGGUACCACUAGAGGAAGCACCGGCUAACUCCGUGCCAGCAGCCGCGGUAAUACGGAGGGUGCAAGCGUUGUUCGGAAUUACUGAGCGUAAAGCGCGUGCAGGCGGUUUGGCAAGUCAGAUGUGAAAGCCCUGUGCUUAACCCAGGAAGUGCAUUUGAAACUGCCUUACUC